CCGCAAACGCCAAGGCCAUUCAGGACCCAUCCUCUUACAGCAACCUUAAAAGACAUCAGGAGGAGAGAUACACCUUCUAGUCUGGGGGCUCAGGGUGAGAGGAGGGGCAGCUCCGGAGUCAGGCCCCAGAUGGCUGGUGCCAGGGGGUGGCAGAAUACCAUGAAUGUGAAGAGCCAGUUUUACUCCUAUAUCAUCUCCAGUGUGCUGAUGAGGAAACCAUGGCACAAAGAGGUUAAAUAACCUGUAAAUAAAUAAAGAAUCUGAGCUGAGCUUCAAACGUGGGCAGUCUGGCUUCAGGUCCCUGGUUUCCACCACUGUACAACACUGCCUCUCAUUACCCAGGAUGCACCUAAGACUCCCAGAAAUGGGGGCUGGGGCACAAAAGCAGCAGUGGUGGGAAGUGGAAGAAGCAAGCCAGCAGGAUACUUCAGUGGCACUAGACAGUGGAGAUGCCACCCCCAUUACACAUGGGUCCACUCUCUACCUUGCACUGGACUCUGUCUCUUACCACAGGCUUAAAAUCUUCCAGGGCCAGAGCUCUGCCUUAGUUAUCUUGACACAUCCACAACCCAAGCAUGAUGUCUUGUGCAUACAAAGAGCUGAGUGAACGCUAGAUACAUUAAAU
rnacentral:lncRNA from 10 species